UUGGGAACUUGAGGUCGGUUGUCGAUCCUGGGGCUGUAGUCGUCCCAAGGGUUGGGCUGUUCGCCCAUUAAAGCGGCACGCGAGUGGUUCAGAAGUCGUGAGACAGUUCGUUCCCUAUCCGUCGCGGGCGCAGGAAAUUUGAGAGGAGCUGUCCUUAGUACGAGAGGACCGGGAUGGACACACCGCUGGUGUACCAGUUGUUCCGCCAGGAGCAUCGCUGGGUAGCUAUGUGUGGCAGGGAUAAACGCUGAAAGCAUCUAAGCGUGAAGCCCCCCUCAAGAUGAGAUUUCCCAUUUCUUCGGAAAGUAAGAUCCCUGAAAGAUGAUCAGGUAGAUAGGUUUGGAGUGGAAGUGUAGCGAUACAUGGAGCGGACAAAUACUAAUCGAUCGAGGACUUAACCAAA
rnacentral:rRNA from 1 species